UGUGGUCAUGUGAUGAAUAGCAUAGUUCAACUGAUAAUCUUUGUGAUUAUAAAAUUUGAAUGUCUUUCGCUCCUAUCUGAUGACCACC